GCAGUAGCCACGGUAAUACGAAGGGGGCUAGCGUUGUUCGGAAUCACUGGGCGUAAAGCGCACGUAGGCGGAUACUUAAGUCAGGGGUGAAAUCCCGGGGCUCAACCUCGGAACUGCCUUUGAUACUGGGUAUCUUGAGUCCGGGAGAGGUUGGUGGAACUCCGAGUGUAGAGGUGAAAUUCGUAGAUAUUCGGAAGAACACCAGUGGCGAAGGCGACUCUCUGGUCUGUAACUGACGCUGAGGAGCGAAAGCGUGGGGAGCGAACAGGAUUAGAUACCCGCGUAGUCCCUGUCUCUUAUAC
rnacentral:rRNA from 1 species